GAUAAUGUCAAAAUGAUACAGAAAUCAGAUAGAAGAAUUUGGGCCCAUGGGCCAAAUUUGGAACAAUUUGAACACCAAAAGAAUCUGGACAAAGUAAACAAAAAGGGAAGAAAGAAGCAAACUUGCUUGGAAAUGUUAUAAUCAUUCUUAGCUUGCAUCCACAGACCCAUCGGCAUGCCCUCUGGAUCUGCCUCAGCAUCAGCCCUGCCUCACAAAAACAUUGGUCCUGCCCCACAGAAAGGGUGAU